UCUUUAGUGCCCCAAUCUUGCAAUGUACCUCUAUCUUGCAAUGGACCAAGGUACUACUGAUGUCAUCACAUAAUGAGUCUUACAUAAUUCAAGACAAAGGCGUCAAGACAACACUAAGACUAAAAAA
rnacentral:lncRNA from 1 species